CCCCUGUGACUGUAACACCCUAAAUGUAAUCCUCUGUGAAAUCAAUAUAUAACCAACUCUCCGUUAUUAGGGGAAGGGAGGCUGGGGGGAAUUGGAAAAUAUGGAUAACCCAAGUACUUCUGGGCCUUAGUUAGCUCUGGAAGAAACACGGUCCUUUCCGUAAGAGUUGGGUGCUAGCAGAUAAGUCCUGCACAGCCGAGCUGGGAAGCGCAGAACCAGCUUAGAGCUUGCUGUGCAUCUUUGCCUGUUGUUCUCUCCAAUCAUUGUCUGGACAGAGAAGCUGAAGACUGCAGCAGAGCUUUCCAGUGUCUGGCUACAUGAAGUCUGCCUUCUGGAUCCACAUACAAGAAAUGUCUGGCAGCUGAUGCAGCAGUCACAUCUACAUUUUGCUUUGGUGUCCUCAAAUCCCAGUGUGUGAUGGGCAAUAGGACAAGAGACUAUGAUUGGAUAGAAACGUGAGCAACUGUUUUUCAGAAAAAGCCCUUUUGUCCUUCCAAGACUACCAGACAUUAACUAGCAGAAAUGAGUUCUCCAAGCAAAAGCUAAUGGAAGGAUGAAAUAAAGCUUUGU